AACACUUGGAAUUAAAGUGCAAGGAAUUUAAAUUUUUAUGAACUAUAAUUGUUGGAGAUACACUAUACAAGGUGGGAAAACUAACCUUUCAUGAAAAAGAUUUCAUGGAUCUUGGGGUUUGAAUAAGUAGAAAAAAAUAUCAAAGUUACAUUAGAGGGCUAAAAGGAGUAAAGAAAACAAAGGUGGGAUUUGCUAAAUCUACAUGAAAUCUCCUAUACAUCUCUCUCGGCUGCUACAACCCACAAAAUGACAAACCCCUUUCUUUUCCCCAAAGCUCCAAGGACAGAGGCUGAGAUCACAUAUUCUUUUAGCCUCCUAGAGAUAUAGCAAGGUCUCUCCUACAAUCUGCCAACACAUACACAAAAUUGGUUAAGGAUACAUCUCAACAAAAUCAAAGAGAAAAAAGAAUCUUUUGUAGAGAUAGGAAGAGUGAGCAAGCUGUCUGGACAACCGUGCUCCUCAAACACAGCAACCACAAUCUUUCACCAAAAGAGGAAUGGUGACAAAUGAGCAAGAGAGAUGAGCUCAUCGUCCAACCCAUAAAGAGAAGAGUAAUAUUAUCCAAAUCACAAGAGAAAUCAGCAAAGAUCUCCCCUAUCCCAAGACUUUUACUAAUUCGGCAAGAGGCCUCUUGUCAUGCUAAAAGGAGAAGGAUCCCAUAGCUAAGAGUAGAAAGGUGAAGCUCCCAAAAUCUGCCAUAAUGAGACAAAACUUUUGCCUAUAUAAGAACCCCACCGUCCCCUCCAUCCCCCCACUUUCAUCACCAAAAUUUACAAAUCAUAAGGAGCACACCGAAGUUGAGGGAGAGGAGCGAUGGGCGGCAGUGGCAUGAAGUCAGUCCACAACCGAGAGCAACUACCAAGGCAAGGUUGAGCAGUGAUGACAGCGGGCGGUGUUGAGCAUAGACAAUGUAGAUCCUUCGAUAGAAUAGUACUCGGAUGCGACGUGUCUCCAUACACGACGUUAUCUGCUCUUGACUCUUCCACUGCAAUGUAAAAGUCGAGUUUGCGCUCUUUGUAUCGUGCACUCUGAUAUAUAUUAUUUGAGUUAUUUCAGUUCAA